GAAAACGCUAUAAGUUUGUCUGUGGGUCUGUUUUUUAGCUGCACUGGAGAAGAUUACCAAAGAACGACGAGAAAAGGAAAAAGUGGUUAGAAUCAUUAAAUUUAAGUAAUUAUAAUGUACUAAAAUCUGGUCCUGUGUGUUUCGCUCAUUUUCAAGAAGUGGACUAUGAUACAACUAAUAUUUGUCGAACAAAUUUGCUCAAAGCAAAUGCUAUUCCAUUUUUAUCUGAAAAAUACGCUUGCAAAACAAUAUACCUACAGGCAGAAAAAUAUGUGACAAAAAUGUACAAUGCUCACUGUACAAUGUAUGAUGAAGCUGGUAUCAGAUUAUGAAGCAUUUCCACGCACGACGCAAGAGCUUGGAGAGCAUCUCACAUAUCCAAUCAUCUGGAAGAGAUAUAUAUAUAUGCUACAAGGCAAAAAGAUGCCUGGGUUUUAGGAGAUAGUGCACAUCUUCUACUACUAUAUCUGAUGACACCUAAGCUACAUGUUCGUUGAUUGCGCUCCAAAAGGUGGUGAUGAGUUAUAGUUGUGAAUAUUCUCGAACUUCGUAA